rnacentral:rRNA from 1 species
UACGAGCACCCCGAGUGGUCGGGACGUUUAUUGGGCCUAAAGCAUCCGUAGCCGGUUCUACAAGUCUUCCGUUAAAUCCAACUGCUUAACAGGUGGGCUGCGGAAGAUACUAUAGAGCUAGGAGGCGGGAGAGGCAAGCGGUACUCGAUGGGUAGGGGUAAAAUCCGUUGAUCCAUUGAAGACCACCAGUGGCGAAGGCGGCUUGCCAGAACGCGCUCGACGGUGAGGGAUGAAAGCUGGGGGAGCAAACCGG